rnacentral:rRNA from 1 species
UACGUAGGGUGCAAGCGUUGUCCGGAAUUAUUGGGCGUAAAGAGCUCGUAGGCGGUCUGUCGCGUCUGCUGUGAAAACUCGGGGCUUAACCCCGGGCCUGCAGUGGGUACGGGCAGACUAGAGUGCGGUAGGGGAGACUGGAAUUCCCGGUGUAGCAGUGAAAUGCGUAGAUAUCGGGAGGAAUACCGAUGGCGAAGGCAGGUCUCUGGGCUAUAACUGACGCUCAUGCACGAAAGCGUGGGGAGCAAACAGG